GAAUAUGAUGAUGUACAUUGUCGCCCCAGUCUUACUUGCAUCUUGAGAUGCAAAUUGGUGAUUGACAUAUUCUAUAUCUGAUUC